UCUUGCUCUUGCUCCUUCGCCUGCUUGCUGUGUGAGACUGAGUAACUGCUAGAUCCUUGGACUUCACAGCUGCGACUGAACAAUUGUUGGGAAUUGGGCUGCCGACUAUUCUCUUACCUAGCCUCGGCUUUCUGUCCCAAAGUUCCCGGGUACCAAGACCAGCUUCGAGAACGCCUUAAAGAGACAGAUGGACUACCGCUCUCGGUGUUGCACCUGGCAGACAAUAUUAUCAUAUUUGGAGUCAUUUUCUCAUAACAAGAAUGAACUUCAGAAGAAGAAACUGUAUAUCAGCAGACCCAAGGACAUCCUCCUCUCUGGCUAGACGCCUGCAACCAUCACCGCACCACCCAGCUUGUGAGGAUCCCUCUGCCCACUGGCAGGUCCCAUUCUCCCCCAGCCAGGAUCCAUGCUACCACAAACUGGCUUUCGCUCUCUACAGAUUGUUCUUCACCAGACAUUUGGAACUGAGGGAUUGGUCACAUCUCUCAAUGGCCUCUCCACGGCUCUGUGCUCUGAUCAUCUCCUAGUGGCACGCGUUUGUUACUGCUCGCUUGUCCCACCCUGUGCCACACUUGUAGCCUUUGGGAUGCAUGAACAGACCACAAGCCUACAUUGUCCCUAAGGUUGAGAAUGUGACAGAGCAUGCAGCGCUCCCUUCAGCAUGGUGAGACCCACAGCAGACAUGUCCCCAUUUUGCUGUAACACAGG
rnacentral:lncRNA from 1 species